rnacentral:rRNA from 1 species
UAGGGAAUUUUUCACAAUGAGCGAAAGCUUGAUGGAGCAAUGCCGCGUGAACGAUGAAGGUCUUUAAGAUUGUAAAGUUCUUUUAUUUGGGAAGAAUGACUUUAGCAGGUAAUGGCUAGAGUUUGACUGUACCAUUUUGAAUAAGUGACGACUAACUAUGUGCCAGCAGUCGCGGUAAUACAUAGGUCGCAAGCGUUAUCCGGAUUUAUUGGGCGUAAAGCAAGCGCAGGCGGAUUGAAAAGUCUGGUGUUAAAGGCAGCUGCUUAACAGUUGUAUGCAUUGGAAACUAUUAAUCUAGAGUGUGGUAGGGAGUUUUGGAAUUUCAUGUGGAGCGGUGAAAUGCGUAGAUAUAUGAAGGAAUACCAGUGGCGAAGGCGAAAACUUAGGCCAUUACUGACGCUUAGGCUUGAAAGUGUGGGGAGCAAAUAGGAUUAGAUACCCUAGUAGUCCACACCGUAAACGAUAGAUACUAGCUGUCGGGGCGAUCCCCUCGGUAGUGAAGUUAACACAUUAAGUAUCUCGCCUGGGUAGUACAUUCGCAAGAAUG